UUUGUUUUUUUUUUUUUUUUUUUUUUUACGGAGGAAAAGAAACCAACAGGGAUUGCCUUAGUAGCCGGCGAGUGAAGCCGGCAAAGGCUCAAAUUUGAAAUCUGGCUCUUUCAGAGUCCGAGUUGUAAUUUGAAGAAGGUAUCUUUGGGUCUGGCUCUUGUCUAUGUUUCUUGGAACAGAACGUCACAGAGGGUGAGAAUCCCGUGCGAUGAGAUGAUCCAGGCCUAUGUAAAGUUCCUUCGAAGAGUCGAGUUGUUUGGGAAUGCAGCUCUAAGUGGGUGGUAAAUUCCAUCUAAAGCUAAAUAUUGGCGAGAGACCGAUAGCGAACAAGUACAGUGAUGGAAAGAUGAAAAGAACUUUGAAAAGAGAGUGAAAAAGUACGUGAAAUUGUUGAAAGGGAAGGGCUUGAGAUCAGACUUGGUAUUUUGUAUGUUACUUCUUCGGGGGUGGCCUCUACAGUUUAUCGGGCCAGCAUCAGUUUGGGCGGUAGGAGAAUUGCGUUGGAAUGUGGCACGGCUUCGGUUGUGUGUUAUAGCCUUCGUCGAUACUGCCAGCCUAGACUGAGGACUGCGGUUUAUACCUAGGAUGUUGGCAUAAWGWUCUUAAGUCGCCCGU
rnacentral:rRNA from 1 species